AAUGAACGUUGGCGGCGUGGAUUAGGCAUGCAAGUCGAGCGGGUGUAGCAAUACACCAGCGGCGAAAGGGAGAGUAACGCGUAGUUUAUGUACCCCGAGGUCCGGAAUAGCCAUGGGAAACUGUGGGUAACGCCGGAUAAUAUCUUCGGAUCAAAGGUGUGAUUCCACCUUGGGAGCAGACUGCGUUGUACUAGCUUGUUGGUAGGGUAAUGGCCUACCAAGGCUACGAUGCAUACCGGGCGUGAGAGCGUGGCCCGGCUCACUGGGACUGAGACACUGCCCAGACACCUACGGGUGGCUGCAGUCGAGAAUCUUCGGCAAUGAGCGCAAGCUUGACCGAGCGACGCCGCGUGCGGGAUGAAGGCCUUCGGGUUGUAAACCGCUUUCGGUUGGGAGGAAAUCGCUAGGGGUUCUCCCCUAGUGUUGACCUAUCUUCGGAAGAAGGACGGGCUAAGUUCGUGCCAGCAGCCGCGGUAAUACGAACCGUCCAAACGUUAUUCGGAUUUAUUGGGCUUAAAGGGUACGUAGGCGGCCCUGUCAGUCGGGUGUGAAAUCCCUCGGCUCAACCGAGGAACUGCGCCCGAUACUGCAGGGCUUGAGGGAGACAGAGGUAAGCGGAACUGAUGGUGGAGCGGUGAAAUGCGUUGAUAUCAUCAGGAACACCGGUGGCGAAAGCGGCUUACUGGGUCUCUUCUGACGCUG
rnacentral:rRNA from 1 species